AACGAACGCUGGCGGCAGGCUUAACACAUGCAAGUCGAACGAGAUCUUCGGAUCUAGUGGCAGACGGGUGAGGAACACGUGGGAACAUCCCUUUCAGUUCGGAAUAACGUUGGGAAACUAACGCUAAUACCGGAUACGUCCUUCGGGAGAAAGAUUUAUCGCUGAAAGAUUGGCCCGUGUCUGAUUAGCUAGUUGGUGAGGUAAUGGCUCACCAAGGCUACGAUCAGUAGCUGAUCUGAGAGGAUGAUCAGCCACAUUGGGACUGAGACACGGCCCAAACUCCUACGGGAGGCAGCAGUGGUGAAUAUUGGACAAUGGGCGCAAGCCUGAUCCAGCCAUGCCGCGUGAGUGAUGACGGCCUUCGGGUUGUAAAGCUCUUUUGUCCGGGAAGAUAAUGACUGUACCGGAAGAAUAAGCCCCGGCAAACUUCGUGCCAGCCGCCGCAGUAA
rnacentral:rRNA from 1 species